UCCUAGGAAAGACCACUCCACUGUAUUUCUCCUAUAUCUUCAAAUUCCAGAAAGUGUUCUUUCUCCUACACUAUAGUCUCUGGAACCCUGCAGACUUGUGAUGAUGGUGUUGCUUGUGUUGAUGUGACCCCCACGGCCCCAUGGUUGUUGUAGGAGGAAAAAGAUAGCAUUUCUGCUGAGGCUUCAUGAAGUGGGAGGGAAGGAUAAAAUGAGAAUGUCUACAUGCUACGAUUUCCUGGGUUGUCUGUUGUGAAGAACACAGUGUAUUCCAGGUCCCAGUCCCCUCUGUGGUCAGCCAUCAGACGCAAGCUGAAGGUGACAUGUUCUGUCACACUAAAAAUGUACGUGCGCUAUUCCCAUUUGCUGUACUUUCUUUUGACAUGACUGAAAUAGGAGGCUGGGAAACUUGCCUUAUCUAAAAUUGAGUCCCAGAUCUUGGCAUUGUCUAAAGCAAUCCAGGAAUUCAAGUUACACUAAUGUAAUUUUACCUCUUGUGCCAAAAACAACUUUUGAUUGGGUCUUCUACACUUACUUUAUAGGCCGUACAUUCUCCCCCAAAUGUGACCACUGACGAACUAGCUUCAACUAAUUUCUGAGAAUUUUCAGGCCAAGGGAAUAGCCCCAAACACUCUGAGUUUAACUGACUUUUUUUUGAAGGGCUACGCCUCCCUUGGCUCUGUGUGUCAGCAGAAUUAACCAAUCUAUAUCAUUUUUUAUAGAUUGUGAACAGGAAGGACCUCAAGUCUGACCCCUGUCGGGCCCCAGUAAAUCUCACAGCACCAAGUUAAAGACACUCCUCUGGGCUUUGUUUUUCUACCAGUCUAUCAUCUCCUCCCAUGCACUCUGGAUUUUAGCAAAACUUUUCAUCUGAGAUUCACAGUGGGAUUUUUUUUAACAUGUGCUGAUGAUCCAAAUAGGUUAUUGCAUAGGAUCCAAUUUGUCACGUGACCUCCAGGAACAUCCCACUGUUCUGCAUUAAAACAGAAUUCUGUCCUCUCAUAAAAGAGUAUAUUUCCUUCUUGCAUGUGCCUAGUAGCAUUUUCCUUUUUAAACACCAAUCUCAUGGGAUUUUUCCUUCUAGACUCCUC
rnacentral:lncRNA from 1 species